GACUUCCGGGGCAGAGCUCCAACCUCGGCGACCGCGGCCCCGGAGAGGGAGAGACCGCAGCACUUCCGGUGACCAGAGCGCUGGCGCCGCGAGCAUUGGCCUAUCCCGAAGAGUGGUGCUGCCGGAAGUCUCCGACCCCGCCUUCUCCAGCGCGGCGGAGGGCGCAGCAGGAGCACCGAGAAGGGCGGAGGGAAAAAAGGAGGGGACUACGGCAUCGCUAGUGGUCCAAACCCUGUCCUUCCACCGCGUUGCAGAGCCACGACUGCCUUCGGAUGGCAAGGUGCCGAGCGGGAUUCGAGGAGGGUGGAGGAGGGGUAAGGAGCAUCGCCGGGUGGACGCCCGGCCCAGUGAAACCUCUUCCCCAAGCAAGCAGCCUUUCCAGGGCUGACAGGAAAAAGGUUCAAUAAGCGAGGCUGAAAAAAAUGGAGAGUCUGAUCUUCAAAUUCAUAUGGAAUUCCAAGGGAUCCCCAAAUAGCCAAAACAAUCUUGAAAAAAGAAGAACACAUUUGGAGGACACACACUUCUUGAUUUCAGAACCUACUAUAAAAUUACAGCAAUCAGAACUGUAGUAAAGCCAUAAGGAUAAACAUACAGACCAAUGGAAUAGAAUUAAGAGGCCAGAAAUAGGACUCUUGAUUUCGACUCAGGUCAUGAUCUCAUGAUUCGUGGGAUCAAGCCCACUGUCAGUGCAGAGCCUGCUUGGGAUUCUCUCACUCUCCCCCUUCUCUGCCCCUCCUUCUCGAGUGUGCUCUCUCUCUCAAAAUACAUACAUACAUAAAUACAUAAACUUAAAAAAAAAAAAACCUCAAAAUGAGUUGAGGACCUAAACUAAAACCGUUCAACUCUUAGAAGGAAACAUGGGUAAAUCUUCAUCACCUGGUUUUGUUCACCAGUACAUCCUUACUUAGUAUGUGGCAUACACUAAACACUCAAAAAUGGUUAUUGAAUGAACCGAUUUCUUGUUUGCUAUUUUGAAUCACUUAGAGCAUUAUAUAUUGUAUAUGUGUUAUAUAUGAUAUGAUUAGGUUGUACUAUUAUUCUUUCAUUUUUGUCUGUCUUGCUCAUCAGAUUAUCAAACUCACCCUGAACAGUGCUCUGUAAACAGUCCAUAGUAACUGUUGCUAUUUGGCCAGCCAUAGUGUCUUUCCCUCUUUGAUUUCCAUCACCCCACAGUGAAAAGAGCAACUUGAAGGAAAGCAAAAAUUGCCUUUGAUGUGAAAAGCAAUUUGUGUGGAUCUGAAUGCAUGCCAGGAGCAACUUGACAAAAAGGCAAAGAUGUGGGAGGGAGCUAACCAGUCCAGGAUAACUCAAGGUUGCAUUUAUUCGGUAACAGAUGAGCUCCUUUCCCAGGUGACUGACAUG